GGGAUGGAGCCGGGCCCGCGACCGACCCCGGCCCGUCUCGGGUCCGCCGCCCGCCCGCGUCUCUGCCGCCGGGCCCGGGGCGGCGGCCGGAGCCCCGAGUGCCGGCUCCCCUCCCCCGCGGGUGCCAACCUCCGGUCCCACCCGGUGCCCCCCAACCCCUGUGCCAUGGCCGGCUGGGGUUCCUGGGGAUGGGAUUUGCUGCCUGUCACAAAUCACAUUGCCAGGGAUUUCCAACCGACCCUGAGCCCUGCCUCUGGGGCUGCCGCCACCGCCUUCGCUGCUGAGGACGCUGCCCGGGGAUAGGGCCGGGGAUGGGAGGCCGAGAGGCCCCCCGCCCCCUGCUGCCUGCGUCUGGCCUGGGGAGCAGGGCUUAGCUGCUUGUGAGCAGAGUCCACACCAAGUCGUGUUCACAGUGGCUAAGUUCCGCCCCCCGGGACCCCGCCUCCUCUGGCCCUGCCGCCUGCCUGUCCCACUGUCCGGGCCUCCCUGGGCUCUGCCUCCCGUGCCUACUGAGCUGAAACACAGUUGAUUUGUGCAGACUGGCUCAGUUCAGCAGGAACAGGAGUCGAGCCCCCUCGAAGCCUGUGCAGCCUGCCUUCCUCGGGUGGGCUGAUUCCUAGGGGACAAGCUGAGGACCCAGACCCAGACCUGGGUUGGGCGGAGGGACUUGGGGGAGGGGCAAUAUCGCCUGGAAUGGGGUGGGUGGACCCAGCUGUCUGCUGUAGGAGCCCUCCCCCAACUCUGUACGUGGGGGUCCUGCCCUCUGCACAGUCCUACUUCCGGCUGAGGCUGGACAGAACUCCUAGGGAGAAUGGGCAGGUGGGUGGGUGGCCCUCCCACUAGAAAGGGAAGCCAUCUGGGUCCCUAUCCCCUCCCAGUACCCCUCCCAGCCUGGAGCCUUGGCCUUUUCUCUCCCAGGCCUGGUGGGACGUGGGCCAGGCCUGUACCUUCCCAGCAGCCAGUUACUCAAGAGGAAGCUGCCCUGGGCCCCCAGACCGUUAAAUGCCAACUCCGGCUUCCGGAACCAGGCUGGCCUGACCUGAGUGUGCCUGGCCUCUUCUCCCUGAACCCUGCGGCGUCCUAACUUUGGGGUGUGGGGAGAGCUGUGACACUCUCCGGGCACGUGGAGCAGGGAGCAAGGUCCCUUGUGGGCCCAGAAAGGACACAGACGGGCCUGUUGAGUCCGCCGGUGGCCCUGCAGCGCACCUGCUACUACAAGACCUGAGACUGUCCAGUAUCAGAUGGGAUGGACUCUGAGUGCGACCAGGCAGAGAGAAGCCCCCUAGGCUGUCAGGGCUGGCCCAGGGUACCCUUUCACCCAGGGAUAGGGGCAUACUUCAGCUCGGGGCAGGGUCUGUGCUGUGUGUUGCUGCUGUCCAAUUAAAUAAAACCUGCCUCCUACCUCA
rnacentral:lncRNA from 1 species